GUGGGGAAUAUUGGACAAUGGGCGAAAGCCUGAUCCAGCCAUGCCGCGUGCAGGAUGAAGGCCUUCGGGUUGUAUACUGCUUUUGUACGGAACGAAAAGACUCCUGCUAAUAAAGGGGGUCCAUGACGGUACCGUAAGAAUAAGCACCGGCUAACUACGUGCCAGCAGCCGCGGUAAUACGUAGGGUGCAAGCGUUAAUCGGAAUUACUGGGCGUAAAGCGUGCGCAGGCGGUGAUAUAAGAAAGAUGUGAAAUCCCCGGGCUCAACCUGGGAACUGCAUUUGUGAAUGUAUAGCUAGAGUACGGGAGAGGGGGAUGGAAUUCCGCGUGUAGCAGUGAAAUGCGUAGAUAUGCGGAGGAACACCGAUGGCGAAGGCAAUCCCCUGGACCUGUACUGACGCUCAUGCACGAAAGCGUGGGGAGCAAACAGGAUUAGAAACCCGUGUAGUCC
rnacentral:rRNA from 1 species